AUUGAACGCUGGCGGAAUGCUUUACACAUGCAAGUCGAACGGUAGAGGGGGCAACCCCUUGAGAGUGGCGAACGGGUGAGUAAUAUAUCGGAACGUGCCCAGUCGUGGGGGAUAACGUAGCGAAAGUUACGCUAAUACCGCAUACGAUCUACGGAUGAAAGCGGGGGACCGUAAGGCCUCGCGCGAUUGGAGCGGCCGAUGUCAGAUUAGCUAGUUGGUGGGGUAAAGGCCCACCAAGGCGACGAUCUGUAGCUGGUCUGAGAGGACGACCAGCCACACUGGAACUGAGACACGGUCCAGACUCCUACGGGAGGCAGCAGUGGGGAAUUUUGGACAAUGGGCGCAAGCCUGAUCCAGCAAUGCCGCGUGCAGGAAGAAGGCCUUCGGGUUGUAAACUGCUUUUGUACGGAACGAAACGGUCUGGGCUAAUACCCCGGGCUAAUGACGGUACCGUAAGAAUAAGCACCGGCUAACUACGUG
rnacentral:rRNA from 1 species